rnacentral:rRNA from 1 species
UACGAAGGGGGCUAGCGUUGCUCGGAAUCACUGGGCGUAAAGGGUGCGUAGGCGGGUCUUUAAGUCAGGGGUGAAAUCCUGGAGCUCAACUCCAGAACUGCCUUUGAUACUGAGAAGCUGGAGUCCGGGAGAGGUGAGUGGAACUGCGAGUGUAGAGGUGAAAAUUCGUAGAUAUUCGCAAGAACACCAGUGGCGAAGGCGGCUCACUGGCCCGGUACUGACGCUGAGGUGCGAAAGCGUGGGGAGCAAACA